rnacentral:rRNA from 1 species
AGCAGCCACCUUUUAAAACGCGUCAAAGCGUAACCUAAACCCCCCAAAAUACCAUUAAUUUUCAUGAACCCCUAAUUUAUAAUGAAUGACUCCAUAUUUAUAUGGAAGACACCAUGCUAGGAUUAGUAACAAGAAUUUAUAAUUCUCCAAAAUGCAAAUAUAAACCAACAUGGAUAGACCAUUGGUAGUUACCGAACCUAAAUUUACUGCAAUAACACCCACAAGAAAACUCUGCAGUACUUACUCGUUAACCUAACACCAGCGCAUUACAGGAAAGAUUAAAAAAAAGAGAAGGAAUUCGGCAAAUGACGGCCCCGCCUGUUUACCAAAAACAUCGCCUCUUGACUUAUAAUAAGAGGUCCAGCCUGCCCAGUGAAUUUUAAACGGCCGCGGUAUCCUAACCGCGCGAAGGUAGCAUAAUCACUUGUUCUUUAAAUGGGGACUCGUAUCAACGGCAUCACGAGGGUUUUACUGUCUCCUCUUUUUGAUCAGUGAAAUUGAUCUUCCCGUGAAGAAGCGGGGAUAUUUUUAUAAGACGAGAAGACCCCAUGGAGCUUUAAACCAAAUAACAACUUAACUACUUAUCCCACAAUAAAUUUAAGCCCUGUUAUAAGGUUUUUGGUUGGGGUGACCGCGGAGUAAAGCACAUCCUCCACGACGGAAAGAACAUAAUCUUUAUUUAAGAACCACACUUCUAGAAAUUAGUAUACUAACGUUUACUGACCCGACAAUCGAUCAACGGACCAAGUUACCCUGGGGAUAACAGCGCAAUCUACUUCAAGAGCUCAUAUCGACAAGUAGGCUUACGACCUCGAUGUUGGAUCAGGGUAUCCCGGUGGUGCAGCCGCUACCGAAGGUUCGUUUGUUCAACGAUUAAAACCCUACGUGAUC